rnacentral:misc_RNA from 1 species
AAUUCUCAACCUCUCUAAGCUUGGCUUUAGUGAGGCUUGGACUUUUGGAGGUUGCUGGAUUCUGAAUUCAGCUCCCCUGAAAUAUAUUAGCACGACCUUGGCUGAUGUAUCUUUGGUAUGAUAAUUAUCUAUACCAUAGAGAUUCAGUUCCUCUAUAUAGUGGAAAGUCGGCUUCUAAUCGUCUAAUCAGACAACAUCGAAAUAU